rnacentral:rRNA from 1 species
GUUGUUGGGUAGGGGAGCGUUCUGUAAGCCUGUGAAGGUGGCCUGUGAGGGUUGCUGGAGGUAUCAGAAGUGCGAAUGCUGACAUAAGUAACGAUAAAGCGGGUGAAAAGCCCGCUCGCCGGAAGACCAAGGGUUCCUGUCCAACGUUAAUCGGGGCAGGGUGAGUCGACCCCUAAGGCGAGGCCGAAAGGCGUAGUCGAUGGGAAACGGGUUAAUAUUCCCGUACUUGGUGUUACUGCGAAGGGGGGACGGAGAAGGCUAUGUUGGCCGGGCGACGGUUGUCCCGGUUUAAGCGUGUAGGCUGUGUGUUCCAGGCAAAUCCGGAAAUCAAGGCUGAGGCGUGACGACGAGGCACUACGGUGCUGAAGCAACAAAUGCCCUGCUUCCAGGAAAAGCCUCUAAGCAUCAGGUAACAUCAAAUCGUACCCCAAACCGACACAGGUGGUCAGGUAGAGAAUACCAAGGCGCUUGAGAGAACUCGGGUGAAGGAACUAGGCAAAAUGGUGCCGUAACUUCGGGAGAAGGCACGCUGACACGUAGGUGAAGUGAUUUACUCAUGGAGCUGAAGUCAGUCGAAGAUACCAGCUGGCUGCAACUGUUUAUUAAAAACACAGCACUGUGCAAACACGAAAGUGGACGUAUACGGUGUGACGCCUGCCCGGUGCCGGAAGGUUAAUUGAUGGGGUCAGCGCAAGCGAAGCUCCUGAUCGAAGCCCCGGUAAACGGCGGCCGUAACUAUAACGGUCCUAAGGUAGCGAAAUUCCUUGUCGGGUAAGUUCCGACCUGCACGAAUGGCGUAAUGAUGGCCAGGCUGUCUCCACCCGAGACUCAGUGAAAUUGAACUCGCUGUGAAGAUGCAGUGUACCCGCGGCAAGACGGAAAGACCCCGUGAACCUUUACUAUAGCUUGACACUGAACAUUGAGCCUUGAUGUGUAGGAUAGGUGGGAGGCUUUGAAGUGUGGACGCCAGUCUGCAUGGAGCCGACCUUGAAAUACCACCCUUUAAUGUUUGAUGUUCUAACGUGGACCCGUAAUCCGGGUUGCGGACAGUGUCUGGUGGGUAGUUUGACUGGGGCGGUCUCCUCCUAAAGAGUAACGGAGGAGCACGAAGGUUGGCUAAUCCUGGUCGGACAUCAGGAGGUUAGUGCAAUGGCAUAAGCCAGCUUGACUGCGAGCGUGACGGCGCGAGCAGGUGCGAAAGCAGGUCAUAGUGAUCCGGUGGUUCUGAAUGGAAGGGCCAUCGCUCAACGGAUAAAAGGUACUCCGGGGAUAACAGGCUGAUACCGCCCAAGAGUUCAUAUCGACGGCGGUGUUUGGCACCUCGAUGUCGGCUCAUCACAUCCUGGGGCUGAAGUAGGUCCCAAGGGUAUGGCUGUUCGCCAUUUAAAGUGGUACGCGAGCUGGGUUUAGAACGUCGUGAGACAGUUCGGUCCCUAUCUGCCGUGGGCGCUGGAGAACUGAGGGGGGCUGCUCCUAGUACGAGAGGACCGGAGUGGACGCAUCACUGGUGUUCGGGUUGUCAUGCCAAUGGCACUGCCCGGUAGCUAAAUGCGGAAGAGAUAAGUGCUGAAAGCAUCUAAGCACGAAACUUGCCCCGAGAUGAGUUCUCCCUGAGAC